rnacentral:rRNA from 1 species
GUCGGAGGUGGCAAACGUUGUUCGGAAUUACUGGGCGUAAAGCGCUCGUAGGCGGCCCUUCAAGUCAGGCGUUAAAUCCCUCGGCUUAACCGAGGAAGCGCGUCUGAAACUGCUGGGCUGGAGUUCCGGAGGGGUGUGUGGAACUCCCGGUGGAGCGGUGAAAUGCGUAGAGAUCGGGAGGAACGCCGGAGGCGAAAGCGACACACUGGACGGAUACUGACGCUGAGGGGCGAAAGCUAGGGGAGCAAACAGGAUUAGAUACCCCCGUA